rnacentral:RNase_P_RNA from 1 species
CGAGCAUCACAGAGCAGGAUAGCUGAUAACGUCAGCCGAGGGCGACCUUAGGGCAAGUGCAACAGAGAUAUACCGCCAGUUUAGCCGCUAACGCGUCUAAACGGUAAGGAUGGAAAGGCGAGGUAAGAGCUCACCGGAGCGCGGGAGACCGCGCUGCCAUGUAAACCCUAUCCGAUGCAACGCCGAUUGGCGGCGGGGGCAACGCGUCUGCUCGGCGCGCCCGCUUAAAGGCGGCUUGACCGCGUUGGCGACAACGCGGCUAGAUAGAUGAUCAUACACGACAGAACUCGGCUUAUCGAUGGAGUCACUUU